rnacentral:rRNA from 1 species
GAUGAACGCUGGCGGCGUGCCUAAUACAUGCAAGUCGAGCGAACGGACGAGAAGCUUGCUUCUCUGAUGUUAGCGGCGGACGGGUGAGUAACACGUGGAUAACCUACCUAUAAGACUGGGAUAACUUCGGGAAACCGGAGCUAAUACCGGAUAAUAUUUUGAACCGCAUGGUUCAAAAGUGAAAGACGGUCUUGCUGUCACUUAUAGAUGGAUCCGCGCUGCAUUAGCUAGUUGGUAAGGUAACGGCUUACCAAGGCAACGAUGCAUAGCCGACCUGAGAGGGUGAUCGGCCACCCUGGAACUGAGACACGGUCCAGACUCCUACGGGAGGCGGCAGUAGGGAAUCUUCCGCAAUGGGCGAAAGCCUGACGGAGCAACGCCGCGUGAGUGAUGAAGGUCUUCGGAUCGUAAACCUCUGUUAUUAGGGAAGAACAUAUGUGUAAGUAACUGUGCACAUCUUGACGGUACCUAAUCAGAAAGCCACGGCUAACUACGUG